AAUGGAAUCUUAGAAUAACAUAAGAAGAGGAAAGCCGAAUAUUUUGCAUCCACCAAAAGAAAGAAAAAGCCGAAUAUUUUGCUUUUGCUUUUGCAAUUCCAUUGCAUUUGUGGUGGGUGCUGCGAAUGAGGAAGGAGAAGAAGCGGUGAGAAAGAGAACCAGAGAGAGAAAGAAAGAGGAAAAAUGGGUAGCUACGAGGCGGUGACGGAGAAGCAAGGAACGACCAAGUGGGUGGUGACGUGCAUGGUUGGAGGGGUGAUGGUGGGUGUAUCACUGUUGGGUCUAUAUUCUGGCCACCUUGGAAUGUUCUGGAAGACCAGAAGACGCAACAAGAAACCAAUUCGUGUCUACAUGGAUGGUUGCUUUGACAUGAUGCAUUAUGGCCAUUGCAAUGCCCUUCGUCAAGCUCGUGCCCUCGGUGACCAACUCAUUGUUGGUGUUGUUAGUGAUUCUGAGAUCACUGCUAAUAAGGGUCCUCCUGUUACCCCUCUUCACGAAAGGUUGAUAAUGGUGAAUGCUGUGAAGUGGGUUGAUGAGGUUAUUCCUGAAGCUCCUUAUGCUAUAACUGAGGAGUUCAUGAAGAAGCUUUUUGAUGAGUAUAAGAUUGAUUACAUUAUUCAUGGGGAUGAUCCUUGUGUUCUUCCUGAUGGAACUGAUGCUUAUGCUCAUGCUAAAAAGGCUGGUCGCUAUAAACAGAUAAAGCGUACUGAAGGAGUUUCCAGCACUGAUAUUGUUGGUCGAAUGCUUCUCUGUGUAAGAGAAAGGUCUGUUAGUGACAGUCAUAAUCAUUCUUCUUUACAAAGACAGUUCAGCAAUGGCCAUAGUCCAAAGUUUGAAGCUGGUGUACCUGCAAUUGGAACUCGUAUAUCUCAUUUUCUGCCUACAUCUCGUAGAAUUGUUCAGUUCUCAAAUGGGAGGGGUCCAGGACCUGAUGCCCGCAUUGUAUAUAUAGAUGGUGCUUUUGAUCUCUUUCAUGCUGGACAUGUGGAGAUCUUGAGACUUGCUAGAGAUCUUGGAGAUUUCCUGCUCGUUGGAAUACACACAGAUCAGUCAGUCAGGUUGUUAACCUUUACAUCCCUUUGUUUUUCACACCUUUUUUUAAAUUGUUUCUAUACUUUAUUAUUAGUGUUAUCAAUGAUGAAUGGUGGCAACCCAAAAACUCACUAUGGAAUUAAGAUGGAUGGCAAAGUGGUGAAUGUCAGAAGCAUGAUGGCCAUGUUAAAAGAUUAUAAAAUAUACUUCAAGCAGCACAAAUUACUAAAGCAACAUGGUUAAACUAUUUUUUAAACCAUCAAACUUAUUAAAAGUAUCACAUUUUUUAACUUAAAUGCAAUAACAGAAAGAUAAAUAUAAAAGCAUAACAUAGUGUCAUUAUUAUGUAAGCAUGAGCUAUUGCCCUUGAUCAUGCAAACAGGCUGAAAAAAAUGGACAGAAUAGCAUUCAUGGUGGCUGGACAUGCUAGGUGACUGGAUGCUUAGGAUAAUGGGUGGGUGGGUUGUAAUUUUAUUCAUUGUGCUGCCAUUCCACUAUGGUGCCAUUGAUAUGGCAGCUGCCAUGGUGCCGCCAUUGCAAAACCACAUCACCAUGGCUUUGGUAAGGUGGUUUUAAUAAAAUCUGCCAGGGUAUUACUAUUCAAUGGCAUGAAGGACUUUUAUAUGGGACCUAGAACAUUACUAGCAAGAAGCUGACAACAAUAAAAUGCCACUAGUUCACAAUAAAUAUACAGAAGUGCCAGUGAUAAGAUGUUACAGCUUGAGUGGGAAACUAAAUUCAUACUUUGCCACAUGUGAAGAAGUUGAAUGAUUUUAAUAUAACUAUUGAUUGGUGAUUGUAAGGGGGCAGGGGUGGAGGUUAUAUUUAGCUUAUUUCUUGGAAGUUGUUUGCACCAUUUUAUUGCAACUUUAAAUGCUUCUAUUGUACUCUACAGGAAGUCUCACAAGUAAAAUAAUAAUAAUAAUAAUAAUGGUAGCUUUUGUCACCUUGUAGCUCAUGUUAUAAUUGCUUAUUUUCAAGCUCAUUCAGAAUUCAAGUGUGAUACAAUAUUCUAAAUACAGAGCUAUGUUCUUGGGUUCUAUAUGACAGUUUGGGCUAAUGAUUUUCUUAAAUGGUAGUCUCUGAAUUAUGCCACAGGAUUGCGAGCCUUUUGUUCCUUUUAUGUGUACAGUCUGUUAAGUCUUAUUUACUUUGAAAGGUGCCUGCAUCCCUUUGUGUGUGUCUGUGUGAUUAAAUAAAGUAUUAUAAAUUAAGUUUACCAUUUUAUGUAGGAUGCCUUCCCAUGAAUUCAAAGGAUGGGAUCUCAAUGCAUAUUUUCUUAUCUUUGUAUUGUUAUCUUUAUCUAAGGUUUGUUGUGUAUGUAACAUCAUAUUAAAGAUUAAUCUAUCUUUUCUCUUUACUUGUUGCACUUAUAUAUGGUCUUUGGGUGAGGCUCCAUAGUUAUUGGACUUGCAUCAUUUCCAAAAACUAUGCUCUACAAUAAUAGCAACACUUUUGCCUUCACUUUUCUACUAGAGGAUCACAUCGUCCUAUCAUGAAUCUUCAUGAAAGAAGUCUAAGUGUUUUAGCAUGUCGCUAUGUGGAUGAGGUUAUAAUUGGUGCACCAUGGGAGGUGUCCAAGGAUAUGAUCACGACGUUUAACAUCUCAUUAGUUGUUCAUGGAACCAUUGCAGAAAAUAAUGAUUUUCAGAAGGAACAAUGCAAUCCAUAUGCUGUACCUAUUAGCAUGGGCAUCUUCAAAAUUUUAGAAAGUCCUUUAGAUAUAACAACUACUACAAUAAUUAGGAGGAUUGUAUCAAACCAUGAGGCAUACCAGAAACGUAAUGAGAAGAAGGGGGAGAGUGAGAAAAGAUACUACGAGGGUAAGACUCAUGUGUCUGAUGACUAAUUCAUGCCUCUAUCGCUUGGGGCAUAUACAUAGGCGCUUUCUCUUUCUUUUGGAAAAGUUAGUUUUGUUCAACUUGGUGGACAAAGUUGGACAUUGUGUUUCGCAUCCAAGAGUAAUCAUUUACCAAAACUGAUUUAACUAAUAGUUUACCUAUGGUUGAUCGUCAUUAUGAAAGUGUUCCCCAAAUAUAUUCGUGAAUAACUAAGUUAUUAGUUAAAUUAGUUUGAGGAAUACUUGAAUAGGCUCGUGAACCAAAAUGUUCAACUUAUGCUCCGAGCAGAACAAAACUCAUUUUACUUUCUUUUUUCCCCCCUUUCGAAUAACCUCCUAUAUUGUAUUACUGCUGUAUGAAUGUUUGAUGAACGCUUAUGUUGAUUGAUCAUUUUUUUUUUUUUUUUGGUUUGAUAAAUUAGUGAAAAUAUCUUCGUUAAAUG